rnacentral:rRNA from 1 species
AACGAACGCUGGCGGCAUGCUUAACACAUGCAAGUUGAACGCAGGAUAGGACUUCGGUUCUAUUGCUGAGUAGCAAACGGGUGAGUAACGCGUGGGAAUCUACCUUUUUGUGGGGGAUAACUGAGGGAAACUUCAGCUAAUACCGCAUAAGCUCUACGGAGGAAAGGCUUCGGCCGCAAGAAGAGGAGCCCGCGUCAGAUUAGGUAGUUGGUAGGGUAAAAGCCUACCAAGCCAAUGAUCUGUAGCUGGUCUGAGAGGAUGAUCAGCCACACUGGGACUGAGACACGGCCCAGACUCCUACGGGAGGCAGCAGUGGGGAAUGUUGGACAAUGGGGGAAACCCUGAUCCAGCAAUGCCGCGUGAGUGGAGAAGGCCUUAGGGUUGUAAAGUUCUUUCACCUGUGAAGAUUAUGACGGUAGCAGGAGAAGAAGCCCCGGCUAACUCCGUGCCAGCCGCCGCCGUAA